GGGGAUUUAGCUCAGCGGUAGAGCGCUUGCCUAGCGAGCGUAAGGCCCUGGGUUCGGUCCCCAGCUCCG
rfam:Rattus norvegicus chromosome 1, whole genome shotgun sequence.